rnacentral:lncRNA from 1 species
AUAGUUGAAACUUUACAUAUAAAUGUCUUUUUAUAAUUAAGUUCGUAUUUAUAUUUUUAUUUUUCUAAAAAUUAAAUAAUAAAAAUAUAUAUUAUAUAUAAUAUUUUUUAUAUAUAAAAAUAAAUUAAUAUAAAUUAUAUAAAUAUAAAAUAUAUGUAUUCGAGCUGUUAUCGAGUCGAAUACGAACGAGCUAAUCCCAGGUCGUGUUCGGCUCGCUUAUUAAACGAGCUGAAAAAAUUCAGCUCACGUUCGGCUCGUUUACUAAACGAGCGAGCCGAUCUCGAGCUCAUUUCGAGUCGAACACG